UUGCUUCAGCAGCAAGUAUACUAAUAUUGGAAUGAUACAUAGAAGAUUAGCAUGGCCCCAGCCCAAGGAUGAAAUGCAAAUUUAUGAAGCAUUCCAUAUUUUU